rnacentral:misc_RNA from 1 species
AAUUCUUUACAAGCAUCA